rnacentral:misc_RNA from 1 species
GAUGAAGAACGUAGCGAAAUGCGAUAAGUAAUGUGAAUUGCAGAAUUCAGUGAAUCAUCGAAUCUUUGAACGCAUCUUGCGCUCCUUGGUAUUCCUUGGAGCAUGCCUGUUUGAGUAUCAUGAGCAAAUCUCAAAGUCAAUUCCUUUUGUUGAUUCAAUUGGUUUUGCUUUGGACUUGGAGGCCUUGCAGAUUUCACAGUCUGCUCCUCUUAAAUGCAUUAGCUGGAUCUCAGUAAUUAUGCUUGGUUCCACUCGGCGUGAUAAGUAUCACUCGCUGAGGACACUGUUAAAAAGGUGGCCAGGAAAAUACUGAUUGAACCGCUUCUAACGGUCUAUUAAGUUAGACAAUUACCCUUAAGUUUGAUCUCAAAUCAGGUAGGACUACCCGCUGAACUUAAGCAUAUUAAUAAGCGGAGGA